GUUGCCCAGGCUGGAGUACAGUGGCAUGAUCUCGGCUCACUGCAGCCUCUGCCUCCCAGGUUCAAGCAAUUCAAGCAAUUGAGGUUUCCUCUCUCAGCCUCCCGAGUAGCUGGGACCACAUGCAUGCACCACCACACCCAGCUAUUUUUUUGUAUUUUAGUAGACACGGGGUUUCGCCAUGUUGGUCUUGAACUCCUGAGCUCAGGCAAUCCGCCCACCUCUGCCUCCCAAAAUGCUACGAUUACAGGUGUGAGCCACUGCGCCUGGCCAAGAGAGUUCUUUUUCUAAACAGACUCGCUCCAUGGAGCUGUUCCCCAAGUCCCUCCUUCUCGGCGCCCUCAGACACACACUCUCUUAGUGUCCAGAACAGAGCCACACGAGCCCUCAGCAUCCUUCAAACCCGUUCUUCCUCCAGAUGCUGCCGAGGUCAGGCCUGAGGCCGGCGCGUGGAGUGGCCUCGGCACCCUGUGUCCUCAGCUUGGCAACUCAGAGAAACAUGUUAGAGGUGCUAACAUUGGAUACAUGUGAGCACAAAGCUGGCAACUCUCAAAGAGGGAGGAAGACAAGGGUCGAAAACAAUCUGUUGCUAUGUUCACUAUUUGGAGGAGGGUUCACCUGAGCCCAAACCUCAGCAUCAUGCAAUAUACUCGUGUAAAAAAGCUGCACGUGGACUCGCUGAAUCCCAAACAAAAAUUAACAAUCCAAGUAUGGACUAAUACAGAGAGAGAAAGGAAGAAAGUGAAGAAGAGCAAACGUAUAUCUGCAGCGGUUUUUCUGCAUGGCUAAGGUGAGGCUGGGCUCCGUGGCUGUUCAGGCGAUUUUGCUGCCUAGAAGGGGAUUUGGAGAGGUAAGAAGCCUGCAAGACAGGAGGCAGCAAGAAUAGGACGUGGGCGGGGGACACCUACCACACAAAAGGCUCAUGUGGUCUUGAUAGUCGUGAAUAUCUUGGAUGCUCAUGCCGAGCUGUUGAGUGAGAUUCCUUAUGCCAUUCUCCACACUGGAAGGCUGAAGACUAAAGAGGUCAUUUGAGCUAUUAGGGGCACCUGACUCUCCCAUCAAACUGUCAUUCCUCUAGACCAGGGGCAGUGGCUCACCCCUGUAAUCUCAGCACUUUGGGAGGCCAGUGGAUCUCUUGAGCCCAGGAGUUCAAACCAGCCUGGGCAACAUAGCAAGAUCCCAUCUCUACAACAACAACAACAACAACAACAACAACAAAACAUACAAAAAAAAAUUAGCCAGGCAUGGUGGCACACACCUGCAGUCCCAUCUUUUUGAGAGGCUGAGGUGGGAGCAUGGAAUGGGCCUGGCAGGUUGAGGCUGCAGUGAGCUGUGAUUGUGCCACUGUACUCCAGUCUGAGCAAUAG
ensembl:lncRNA novel transcript